UACGUAGGGAGCAAGCGUUGUCCGGAAUCAUUGGGCGUAAAGCGCGCGUAGGUGGCUUCGUAAGUCCGCUGUGAAAGUCAAAGGCUCAACCUUUGAAAGCCGGUGGAUACUGUGAAGCUAGAGUACGGAAGAGGCGAGUGGAAUUCCUGGUGUAGCGGUGGAAUGCGCAGAUAGUCAGGAGGAACACCAAUAGCGAAGGCAGCUCGCUGGGACGUUACUGACACUGAGGCGACGAAAGCGUGGGGAGCGAACAGG
rnacentral:rRNA from 1 species